rnacentral:lncRNA from 1 species
GGCCGCACACCGUCCGCUCCAAUGUGUUUGCGUCACUCUCGCGGCACACAUGACUGGGGUGCGCCUGCGGUCCGUCCAAAGGGCGGCUGACGCCGCGGGCCGGAUCGGCGUCUCGGUGUUGGUCGACGGCCUCGUCGUCCGUGGGAUCGCCGUGCGUCGGACGGACGCACUGUUGCUGUUGUUGCGUGUGGUCUUUGGUGUCGGCGACACGCGGUGGUGCGCCUCUGGUUUCGUCGUCGUCGCCGCCGCCGUUGCGAGUUUCGCCGCGUCCUCUGGGGUCGGUUUUGGCGUUGGCGCCACUGCCGCGGUCUUGCUGUCUGUCCUUGUCGUCGGCAUGGUCAUGGUCGUUGUGAUCAUCAUCGUCGCUGCUGCUGCUCGGUACGAUGCGACGCCGCACGCGCCGCGCGGGCGACGAUACG